rnacentral:rRNA from 1 species
AUUGAACGCUGGCGGCAUGCCUUACACAUGCAAGUCGAACGGCAGCACGGGAGCAAUCCUGGUGGCGAGUGGCGAACGGGUGAGUAAUAUAUCGGAACGUGCCCGGUCGUGGGGAUAACGUAGCGAAAGCUACGCUAAUACCGCAUACGAUCUACGGAUGAAAGCGGGGGGAUCGCAAGACCUCGCGCGAUUGGAGCGGCCGAUAUCAGAUUAGGUAGUUGGUGAGGUAAAGGCUCACCAAGCCGACGAUCUGUAGCUGGUCUGAGAGGACGACCAGCCACACUGGGACUGAGACACGGCCCAGUCUCCUACGGGAGGCAGCAGUGGGGAAUUUUGGGACAAUGGGCGCAAGCCUGAUCCAGCAAUGCCGCGUGCAGGAUGAAGGCC